rnacentral:lncRNA from 1 species
GGAAACCCUAACAUUAUAAAAUGUCAAUGUGAUUAGAGUUGGUGAAACUGAACCAAAUUAAGAAACUCUGAAGUCAGAUUCAUGAAUCCCCACCACGGGAAAUCCUGGGCACUCACUCAAGUCAAGUCUGGUGGUGUGCUCUUUUCAAUGUCUCAAGUUUGAUCAUCUUUGGUGGACUAUUUAGCUUCUUUAAAAAAGAAUAGUUG